rnacentral:rRNA from 1 species
UACGGGGGGGCAAGCGUUGUUCGGAAUUACUGGGCGUAAAGGGCUCGUCGGCGGCCAACUAAGUCGGAUGUGAAAUCCCCAGGCUUAACCUGGGAACUGCAUCCGAUACUGGAUGGCUUGAAUCCGGGAGAGGGAUGCAGAAUUCCAGGUGUAGCGGUGAAAUGCGUAGAUAUCUGGAGGAAUACCGGUGGCGAAGGCGGCAUCCUGGACCGGCAUUGACGCUGAUGAGCGAAAGCUAGGGGAGCAAACGGG